GAAGCAAAAGACUUGUUUCUUUUACAGCUAAGAACAAGAGCACCUGCAACCAAGAGACCAGGUGAAAUGAUGAACGCUUGUUUCACUUGUCUCCACUUUACUUACCGGAACAUACAAACGCAGCCUCCUCAUAUAACAGAGAAAGGGAGUACCAUUUUAUUGACAGGUUACAUCUCAAAAGAACUUACCGAGUUUAUCGAUAAACCUUAUUCCGCAGCUACCCGAGUUCCAGCCAUCUAUGUAACUUUGAAGAGAGGAGGAAGAUGAAGAGUGUGGCCCUCUAGUUCAUCCAAAAGACCCGCCUCUCUGUAGCAUUCAACAGCAUCAGUGAGAGUUUCUUCUAGAGGCCUCCAUUUCCAACCCAACUUCUUUAGUUUCUCUGAGGUCAGCGGGGCACUUGGUGGUACGUCAACGAUACUGCAAUUCGAAAUAAAGUAAAAAUUAAGAUUGAAGUGGAAAUAUUCAUGGUACUCCUCACAUAAAAAGUUGGAAUGGAACGAACUUCUUCUGGUAACCAUAGUUAGGAUACAUGCCCUUCAGCAAGUCAACCAACUCUCGAAUAGUAAUUGGAGAAGCUGCACAAAUGUAUCUUCCAGAUGAUUCUGGCUUCUCGUAUACUAGAAGCAAUGCAUCGGCAACAUCUCGAACGUCUACAAAAUGCCAGAGGUAGUCCAACAUGGGCUCUGGACCUCCUGUUAUGAAAUCAUGCAGAAAAAAAAAAUGCUGAAGUCGGAGAACUCAAACCCAAGAACAAAAAUCACUAGUGUUAUAUAGAGCUUAAUUUUUAAUAGAGUUGUAUGUCCUCAAAAUUUAACGCAGCAAUCUAGACCAGAUUGCAAUUAUAUUUGAUAUUAUUUAUAUAUGUCACUAGAUAGAGAAAGAUCGAGCCCAUUUUUCUCUGCAUAGAUUAGAAACAAGCUGUGUGUACAGGACUGUGUGUAAAGGAGGACCUUUUGUAGCAUAGAUUAGAAACAAGCUGCUAGCGCUCGCUGUAGGUUGCAGCAAUGGUCCUAAAACCACUGACGGGCAAACAGUUACAAGAUCGAGCCCAUUUUUCUCUGCAUACUCCCAAGCUGCAUGUUCGGCCAUCGUCUUCGAAAGGCAAUACCAGUUCUACAAAAGCAAGUAAAGGAUUAAACUUGGAUUGUUAUUUUGGCUCUAUAACGCCAGCCUACACAAGCAUUGUUCUUGCAUUAGUGAUAGAAUCUUCCACCUACAAUAAUUAACUCAUGGAUAAAAUCACAAAAUUUUAUGAUGAUAAUUAAGGAUUUUGGCAAAUAAAGCGCACGUUAAGGAUUCAGUGAUGGUUCUGUAGUUUGUCAAUGUACUCAAAGCUAUGCAUGGCCACCUCACCUCUUAAAAGAGGUGGAUUUAGCUUAAAUCUCUGACUGUUCCAUGGACCUUGUAACCAUUGGAGAGGAGGAGCUUCCAUGUUGUUUCAUAUUAUAAUCUGUCAAAGAAACAAAAGGGGUUUGCAGGGCAUGUACAGGCCAACUUAAAUAAAAAGUUCAGUUUAACCCUUGGAGCAACAGUAUCUAGAAAAGAUCAAACCUGAUUUCCGCACAAACCAAAUAACCUACAACACAAAAGCUACAGCCAUAACUGUGAAGGAACGACAAUAGAUUAAUUAGAGGAUGGCCCAAGUUAACCUAAACGGAAACUGUUGAAAACCAUAUUAAUAGAAUUACACUACUGAUAAAUAUGUUUGUUGGCAGAAAUAAGGGCAUAAUAAAAAAAUCUAACAUUGAUGGUGAUCAUGAAUGGGUACGGUUGCUUAGUUUUAUUAUCUUAAACAUCUGAAAGACAUUUAUCCAGCCAUAGUUACUAAGAAUCAUGUGACCACUUGUAGGCCGUAAGGGAGUCUGUCGAGCACUAGGUUCACAUGUUCCUGUAAUAGUUCUUGAUACGUAAGCUGGAAAAUUAUUUUGGAGAAGCAAUAUGAAGUUUUCUAUUUUACUACAAGAAUUGUGAUGCUAAUUAACCACAUCGAUCGAGACAUAGAUCCCAAGAAAGACUGGCUAGGUGGUUCAAGAAAAGUGAUUAAUGAAUUUGGGCCAUGAAUCCUGUUAUGGUGUGUCUUCUAUCAGAGGAUGCACUGCUAAAAGAGUCUCUCCAACUGGACGCUCAGCCUUGGGGCUGAGGCCCACCGUGCAGGCUAGAGACAUUAGGUGUAGCAUGCAUGCAUGCUUGUGCUCUUGUUCUAGGGCUUUUAUGUGUGGCAAGUUUUAAAGCAUUGUAUCGGAGAUUUUUCUUCUUUGUACUCUUCCAUCCAUAGCGAGGUUCUUCCGAUCGUCUCUGCUCGUGGAUGCAGGCCAUGUAAAUGGUUGUCUCUUUGUAUUCCGUUUAUUUAUUAACCCUAGAUCUAGCUUCUUAGCAUAACACAAUAUAUGGUAAGUAUGAAGCAUAUUGGUGAUCAUCAUGCUACUUUGUGAUCCAAUAAGAAUUGUUAGUUAAGUAUCUUCCAUUCAAGUUGAGUCAAAGUAUUCAAUUGUGUACCUGAUUCUAUUAAAGAACAAAAAGUAAAAUACUUUGUUUCAUUUUACAAGAAAAGAUAGAAACAAAAGCUCCAAUGAUCAAAAUAGUCACCUCAAUCUUCCUGCAAAAUUCUUCAGACGACCAACACUUCUCAUCCUUGAGCUUAUCAAGUGGCCAAUGUGGAUUCAGUAAAACGGCAGCAAUUGAUGACACCACAAUCACCCGUUUGAUUUUCAUCUCCGAACAUGCUUGAAGUACAUUUAGAGUGCCGUUAACAGCGGGAGUGAUCAACUCUAACUGCAAGGUGAUAUAUGGAGAUAAAAAAGAUUCAAAGAAAAAGACCAGAUGUCAAGUUCCCCAAGGAACAAAAGGUGUAUACAAUGCUAAUCAAAACUCUGUAUGUCCUUCCCUUCAUUGUAUCCCUAUAUGAAACAACUGACUCGGUAUUUCCUAAUACUGUACAUGAAUAUCAGCAUCGAUAAUUUCAAAAUUUGAUCUCUUACAUAUCUAAGCAUAUGAAAGACUUGCCUCUGGAUCAAGGACUUUGGUUACAGGGACAGGACUAGCCACAUGGAAGACUCCUUCACAUCCUGCAAAGGCUGCUUUUAAAGUGUCGUAGUGAAGCACGUCCGCUUUGAAGAGUUGAAGGUUUUCAGAGGCCUUCUCAAAUUUCCUCAAGUGAGCGUUCUUUUCAUCACCUGGAACAAAUGUUCAGAAAAUUUAUUCUACGNNNNNNNNNNNNNNNNNNNNNNNNNNNNNNNNNNNNNNGUAUGGUAUUGCUUUGUCAUGAGAUGCUCUAAAUCAAUAUUCUCCGUUUAGUAUGAUUAAAAGACAGAAUCCUUUUUUACUGUAAUGAUUUUAUUUGUUAUCUCCAAUGAGUCUUGCAAUUUUCCAAGCAUUCUUCAGAAAUCAACGUGGGCAUGAUAUCAUCAGUCCCUUCUGAUCUGCUUCUUCAUCUACUGGCAACUCGAACAAGAUCACCACUUAGCCUUGUAUCUUCGCACCAGCACUUGGAUGCUGACAAACUGAAAGUAUUUUUCUGCUCUGCUCUUAUAUUCUUGGAAAAAGACGACCACUUUCAUUUAGGAGCCGAAAGCGCGUACAGGAAACCAGAAGGCAGAAGAGAAACAAAAGAGAAGACAAGGGAGAAAUCUUCUGAAAUGAUCCGAAAUAAAAUUGAAGAAUAGACAGGAAAACAAAAGGUGAUUCACGGUCCUCCUAUCUUGAAAAAAACUCGGAAUUUUCGGAUCAUCAUGCCUUUCUUGAUGUUCUUUUGAUAUUUGAAGUCUCCAAAUACUGAAACCUUACAGAAAUCCAAGUUCUAACAUGCAAAACCAAACUCACAAAACACCGCGUACUCGUACAGUACACACAAAAAAAUGAUUUAUUUUUUACGCGUGCAGACGAAAGAAAAAAAAUCUUAGAGCACUACGGUUCAAACAAAGAAAGAGCAGCGCAGCAGCAGCAGUAGUAGUAGUAGUAGAGGGAAGAGCAUUACUUAAAUCUCUGACUGUUCCAUGGACCUUGUAACCAUUGGAGAGGAGGAGCUUCACCAGCCAUGAGCCCACGUAUCCUCCGGCACCCGUCACACACACCUUCCCUUUCUCUUCUACCACCUCCAUUGCUCCCCCUAUCUCUCCCCUCUCCGGUCUUUAUUUUAAUCUCCCAUGAGAUGCCAGAAGCGGCCGUUGUAGUCCACGCAUCUCCUUUUCAAUCCUUUUUGUUUGGUAAAUCUCCUUUUCAAUCCUUAUUUUUUUGGUAAAUCUCCUUUUCAAUCCUUCGGAAUAGUCCAAAUGUUUGGCAGAAAAGGUGGCGACAUGCGUGGCCCUCCGUGCGGUAGCUCAUUUAUAAUUCCAAAUGUUUGGCUUAAGUGGCUGGCUCUAUCUCAAGCACUUCCGUCUCUGAGUUCGAGCUAGAGCUCAAUUAAAAUUUAAAACUAAACAGGCCCUAACAUAAUCUCUUAAAAAAAAAAAAUUAUUUCAUGACUAUUAAAUUUAGCCAUGUCCAUUACAUUAUAAGACCUGUAAAUGGUCUUCGAGGAUCCAGUGGUGGUGGGAAGCCAUUGGAGUUGGGUAUGAGCUGUGACUAGAUCUUCUUUUAACAAAAUUCAUAAUUUCAACAAACUUCAAGGAGCCUUAAUCCUUACCUAUCUCUGCCGGGAAAAAAAAAAUCUUUUUGGUGGUUAAAAACAAAAUAGCCAUGCUAACCUAUGCUUCUUAAUUAAUCAAUAGUAUCUCUCCUCCUUUUAUUUUAUAUCGACUAUAUAAUUAUUCAACAAAUAUGUAUGAGCUGUUCUAAGGGAGCUUUUAAAAUGGCAUAAUUAAUUAGUUGAUGUUCUUAUCCAGGGUGAAGUCUCCUCCUCAUCACAUUCUUUGUUGAGUUCCAUGAGGAUGAUUAAUUGUCAUCAGCAGGUGCCACACUGGCAGGGCAGGAAAAAUCUAAAACAACUUUGUACGUUGAUAGGAAAAGUAAACUAUGGCGAAACAAAUGUUUUCUUAGAGUUAAUUAACUGCAUUUUCAAAGCAUCCUAAUCUUUAUCUCACCAUCAAUCGAUCAAUAAUCCAAGUGUUAGUUAAUUUUACUUAUUGUCAAUCCUUGGUUGGCCACCUGAUGGAUUCGGCAGUCAAGGCCUGCAAGCAUUAGGGUGUGACCGAGAAGGAUGAACAAGCCCCCUUGAGUUGGUCUCGGGCCCGUCGUCCGCCCAUUUCGGGCCGAGUUGCUCUAGGAACCGACCAAGCUCACUAGAGUCGCUGCCGAACUUGGAUGGAUGGCAGAAACCCACCAAGAUGGCGCGGAGGAGGUCAUUGGAGAAGUGGUUUCUAGUUAGUAACUUGGCGAUGUCUGGUGAUAAGUUGACUCGAUUCGCCAUGGGUGCUAGGUUCGGAGCGAUUCAGGGGUCUAGAGAAGGUCGGGCCUGAGGGCCGAGCCUGCGGGACCAGGCUGAGGCUAGGUCAAUGCUGAUAUGACGGAGGUGGGAUCCAGGCCUGACCUAAUGAAGCGAGCUAGAAGCCCCCCAAGGCCCGUGCUGAGGGUGGACUAGCGAAGAGUGGACCGGGCCUCUUGGGCCCCUCCAAGAUCCUCGAGGAGAGUAGGCUGAAGGAUGGGCGACACACACCCUCCCUUUCUCUCCUGUCGCCUCUAUUUCUCCCCUUAUCUCUCUCCUCUCCGGUCUUUAUUUGUGUGGACUUAUUUUAAUCUCACAAGAGACGCCAAAAUGGCUAUUUAUUUAUGUGGAUUUAUUUUAGGGUUCUUUGUACAUAUUUUUGCAAACCAUUUGUUUUGCUAUUCUAUCUUUUUUUUAAUCCGUGUUUUUGCACAUGCACUUACACCAUCUAAUGCCGUUAAAAAGUUAACGGUUUCAAAUUUAAAUGACUAAAAUAUUCUUAAUGGGUAAAUGUGCAAAAAGAAACAUUUAUAUGGGUAUACAAAGAGAGAGCAAUUUUAUAAAGAUAUUUAUGCAAUUCUGCAUAUUUAGGAGGAUAUAUAUUAAAAAAAAAAUUUAAUAGACAUAUUAAUAAAUCUGUGACGAUCGAGCCAGAGCUCCGGUGGUGGCGGCACCGUCACCCACCGGGCCUAGGCGUUCUGGUCCUUGGCCCGCAGCACCUAGAGCCUACUCGUUAUCCUCUGGUACAGAGUCGUCAGCAGGCUCGAGUCGGCGUGGAAGCCAUGCCCAUGGCCCGUUCAGGGUUCAGGCACGCCAGACACGAGUUAAUCGUAGCUCGCUAGCCAAGUCCGGUAUCAAUUCCCCAGUUUGGCCGGCCCACUCGACCUCCUCAUCCUGGAGGCCCAGUGAGAGAAGCAUCAGCCUUAUCAACCUCCCGGGGAGAGCCUUCAUCUCUCUCAAUCGUAUCGUUCUAUCAUAUCACUACACAGGAAAAAAAAAAAGCGUAGCACUAGUUAACAGGUAGGGUUGCCAUGACACGGCGCGAGGGGGCAUGUAGGCACGUACCAGCAUUGGUCCGGGUCCUGGGGCCAAAGCUUGCGAGAGGGAGCCCGCGAUGGUGAAGCCCUCAACCACAUGGGCUUGGCGAAGGAGGAGGAGAUGGGGACGAGGCCAUAGCCGGAGAUGCCGUUGGUCGGGGCAGGUUGCCUUGAGCUUCUGCUAGGUUGGGAGCUAUAUGAAAUNNNNNNNNNNNNNNNNNNNNNNNNNNNNNNNNNNNNNNNNNNNNNNNNNNNNNNNNNNNNNNNNNNNNNNNNNNNNNNNNNNNNNNNNNNNNNNNNNNNNNNNNNNNNNNNNNNNNNNNNNNNNNNNNNNNNNNNNNNNNNNNNNNNNNNNNNNNNNNNNNNNNNNNNNNNNNNNNNNNNNNNNNNNNNNNNNNNNNNNNNNNNNNNNNNNNNNNNNNNNNNNNNNNNNNNNNNNNNNNNNNNNNNNNNNNNNNNNNNNNNNNNNNNNNNNNNNNNNNNNNNNNNNNNNNNNNNNNNNNNNNNNNNNNNNNNNNNNNNNNNNNNNNNNNNNNNNNNNNNNNNNNNNNNNNNNNNNNNNNNNNNNNNNNNNNNNNNNNNNNNNNNNNNNNNNNNNNNNNNNNNNNNNNNNNNNNNNNNNNNNNNNNNNNNNNNNNNNNNNNNNNNNNNNNNNNNNNNNNNNNNNNNNUCUCUCUCUCUCUCUCUCUCUCUCUCUCUCUCUAUAUAUAUAUAUAUAUAUAUAUAUCAAGAUCAAAACAACGCCCUGCAGUAUAUUUUUAUAAUCUGUUACUUUUUCCCAUUUAACUUCUUAGAUGAUGAAGCCUAGUAGCAGCAGAGUGUACAAGACUGAGUUUGCAAGUUGAAAUCCAUGAUACUGAAAAAGAUGGAGCAAGAUUUUGUCUCCCUUUUAUUCUUGUUAAAAAAAUUCAAGGAACCAAAAAACGUGAAACCAUAUUAAAGGCCAAAAAAAAUAAAAAAACUUUGAAACUUGUGCCACAUGGCUCUUUGAUAUUAAAUUAUAUCAUUCAGAUAUGCAUGUUAUUUGUCUCUAUCCAACAUCACCCACGUGACUCUUGCGAGACACUAUUCUCCUAAAAUUUUGGACUUGCAUGUAUUUAUGUGAUCUUAAAACCAACAAGAGUUCCGCUUGCCAUGUGACUUGAGAUCUAGACCUUGUUUCGAUGCAUGUUUGUUUUUUUUUUUUGGUACAUAUGCUACUGUUCUUCAAGACAAUUUCUCAUUCAUACAUGCAGCUGGAUAUUUGCUUUCAUAAGAAAGCAAAUAUCUAGCUGCAUGUAUGAAGAGCCUUAGGUUUGUGUGUGCAGACCUCGGCAUUGUUUAUGUCUUAGUUUGUACUAGUUUCCUUUUUACUCUUGUUUUCUACCAUGUUGGAAGGGCCUUGGGUAAAUGCAAUGACUUCAACUUCAGAAUGCAAUUACAUAUAAUGAGCUAAUAAAAGAAGUAACAUUGGAUUAUUUACUAUCCAACAACAAAACCAGGACAAUGCUACCUUUCUGUCUCAACAUCCAUGAAGAAAGUACUGUGUUAAAAUAUUUGCAAAGAAGAUAAAAAUAAAAGAAAAAAAGAAAGAGAGAAAAUUGAUUUUAUUUUUCUGUUCCAUUAUAUUCGAUACAUCUCAGGAAUUUUAUAUACUCGUAUACAUACUCUAUAUAAAGAAAAUAAUAUAAGCUGAUAUAUUGAUCACGCUAACAAAACAAAAAUAUUUAGGUGAUACAAGUUGUCAUAUAAUCUCUAAAAUCACUCUAAUAAAAUCAUGCUAAUAUAUACCAUCCAUACAUACUGGAGUCAGUACCAAGAAAAACUUAUGUUCAUGAGGCACCAUUUACCAGCACAAAGUAUGUGAUUAAGAAGCAAGAGGACAGCAAAGUUGGCACACAAGUGACCCAUGAGUAACCUAAAUAAUACUUUUCGGCUAGUCUUUUUGGAUAAGGUCUUGGGGUGUUACUGUUUGUAUUGCAAAACUGGGCUAAACAAGUCUCAAUAGAUAAACUUCAUCAUGGUAGGAUAUAUAUGCCUAUCAAUACAAUUAAUAUAACUUUGUUAAAUCUAUACUGCUUGUUCCGAUAGCAGUUCUAUAAAAGAAAUCAUUACAACAAGAAUUGUAUACACCUUUUGUUCCUUGGGAAACUUGACUCGUGCGAGACUUGUAUACACCUUUUGUAAAUACAGGCUCGCACGAGUCCUCACAUACUCUUUCCGUUUAAGCUCUGACGUCCUCGUCGGCCUAAGAAUUCAGAUUCAUUCAAAUCUAAUCACAAGCACCACGAUUGGCCCAUAGUUAGCCCAAUAGAUCCGUGUUGUAGUGUCCUCUAGUCCACAUAGGUUAUGGGUUGGGUCCACUCUGAUACUGUUUGUAAUAAUCCACGAUCUCACCCAAAAUGGCUAGUCGAAAGUUAUUAUUUAAGUUCCUUGAUCUUAUAUAAGUACCCAAGAUCGAUCCAACAAAUUAUCGAUAUGAGGCUAAACACAUGCCCGUGCGAAUCCUCACAUAUUCCUCCUAUUCAAGCUCCGACAUUCUCGUCAGGCUAAUGAUUCAAAUAUGUUCAAAUCUACGUCCUUGUCAGGCUAAGAGUUCAAAUUUAUUCAAAUCUAAUCACAAGCACCACGAUCGGCCCGUGGUCAGCUUUAAUAGAUCCGUGCUGUAAUGUUCCCUAGUCCACAUAGGUUUUGGGCCGGGUCUGCUCUAAUACCACUUGUAACAUCCCAAGACCUCAUUUAAAAAAGUUAGCCGGAAGGUAUUAUUUGAAAUUCAAAAGACUUCCUAAUCAGCCGUAUGGGAAAUUUAAAUUCAAACUUUUUCCAUGCGAGUCACAUGCUAAAAUUCUAAGAUGGAAGGCUGGAUCAUUUGGGCUCGCACUUGGUUGGCCGAAGCGCGUGAUCCGUUCAUCUUUUGACAAGUGUUCGGCUAAUGUCCUCUUUGGCCAUGGAUUGCUGACUUGUCAUGCGCAUGGGGUAUUCUCCUUUGGUUUGCUUUUGUUGUAUUUGGUCGCAUGGAGAUCUCCUUCCUUAUUCUGCGCUUGCCUUUGGUUGGCACCUCGCGAAUCCUUCCUUGUUUGAAUUAUCUCAUGUGCGCGGAUGGAUGAUGUGGCACACAUACAUGAGGCGCUGAUGGUGUCUUCUUUUGGCAGCCCUUGCAGCUCCUUAGUUGUCCACUGGUGUCCUUCCUUGUUUGCCCAUGCACAUGGAUUGCUGAAGUGGCAAAUGCAUGGGUGGCUGAUCAAUGGUCUGAUGCAUCUAAGCCCUUGCAUUCUCGAGGUCGAGCAGACAUGGAAGAAAUCCAUGCUUGGCAGAGACUCCUCCAUGGUUUGAUUGUUGGACCCAUGUCAAGUCCUUCUUUUGUAAGGACUUGGCUGCCUUGUUAGCACCUCCUAGCUGAGCUCCCUUGAUGCAUCCUAGUCAAGGUUACAAUGGAUUAUAGAGGGUGAGAGAACAUCAAAUUCUUCUACCAAUCGACAGUUAUCAGGAGGUGGAGGAAUGGGAUUUGCAGCAUCAAGAAGAAUGGUAAGCAGAGUACAGAUGACCCAAACUUCAUCAGGAGGGUGUUGGAUUAGUUUUUCAGAUCUAGAUGGACAGACCAACCCGAAGGUUGGAUAGCAUCAAGCGAACUAUCUUCGGCAUUGAGAGUUUUGGAGGAGGAGAAUGCAAUGUUGGUAAGUUCGAUCUCAAAUGUAGAAAUCAAGGAGGCUUUAUGGUCACUGGCUGAGGAAAAGGCUCUAGGUCCGGAUAGUUUCCCCCCAGCCUUCUUUUGGAGAUAUUGGCAUAUUAUUGGCAAAAUGUAAUCGCAGCUAUUCAGCAGUUUUUCAGCACUGUAAGGAUGCCUAGCGACUGGAAGCGGACAUUCAUCAUCCUGAUUCCGAAAAGGCAAAUACCUCGGAGCUGAGCCACUAUCGUCCAUCAGCGUGUACACGACUUUGUAUAAAGUCAUUGCAAAGUUCUUGGUGAGGAGGAUAAGGGGUGUCCUGCCCAUGCUCAUUAACCCUGAGCAGGGGGUCUUUAUUGUGGGACGUAGCGUCACCGACAAUGUACUUAUCGGACAGAAGUUUAUGGCUGACCUCCAAACAAUGCGAGCAGAGGAGUUUGAUGGGCAUCAAACUCAAUAUAUAGAGGACCUAUAAUAGGAUGAGCUGGAGCUUCCUCACUCGUUCAUUGGUGAGCUUUGAAUUCCAUUAGCUAUGGAUCAGGUGGAUCUUGGGGUGCAUCCUGAACACCUCCUUUAAUUUGCCAUGCUGGUGAAUGGCAUGCCGACCCACUUCUUCGAGACCUUUGUUGGGCUGCGAAAGGGUUGUCUGCAAUCCCCUCUGUUAUUCAUCGCCUGCGCAAAUGCACUUUUCAAAUUGUUUUGACAUGCUUCCGAGAGUCGGGCGGUCGAGGCCUACAGACCGGAGGGGCCUCUUCAGAUUUUGCAUCUACUAUUUUCUGAUAAUUGCUUGCUACUGGCCCGAGCGACGAGACAAUCAACUGCAAUUCGGAGGGUUUUAGAGGAUUAUUAUUGGGCAUCUGGGCAGAAAGUGAACUUGGCAAAGUUAGCUAUCUGGUUCAGUCUAAGGAUCAAGUCGAGGCUGAAGAGCUCCAUAAGAUGAGGCAGGUCUUUUAGGCACCCUAGCUCUUUCUAAUUCCACCAACGCCUGAUUCUUUUAGUUUCACAGAUCCUAAACUCCCCCAUCAUCAUCCCAGGAGGAGGUGGUGGGGCGGCAGCUAAUGGUGGCAGCGGCCGCAGUCAAAGGGAAAGCAACCACAGAGAGGGAGCAGGGACGUAUGAACCUAUUUGCUCUCUAAACCUAGCAACUAACUUUUAGUUUGGUUUUAUUUGGCCAAGGAUUUUUUUGACAGAUUUCACCCAAACAAGGCAAAGGAAUGCCAUCCAUUACCAAAAGACUUGUUUCUUUUACAGCUAAGAACAAGAGCAUCUGCAACCAAGAGACCAGGUGAAAUGAUGAACGCUUGUUUCACUUGUCUCCACUUUACCGGAACAUACACACGCAGCCUCCUCAUAUAACAGAGAAAGGGAGUACCAUUUUAUUGGC
rnacentral:lncRNA from 1 species